rnacentral:lncRNA from 13 species
UUAAAAUGCCAUUUACCGUCGGUGCAUGAGGGAUGACAGAACUGUGGUUGAUUUAAGAGCUCUGUCUUCUAUGUAGUGUCCUAAUAAAUAGAUGCCACAGCCUCAGCUCCAGUGUGAAACUACAUUCAACUCAAGGGUUCCCCACUGAUUACUAGACAAACUGGAAUCCUCCACUCCACCAUUUCUGGAAAACCUGUGAAUUUGGGGAAAAUUAGCGAAAUUCUGCAACUCAUGACACCAUUUUGACAAAAGUAGUUUUGUAAAUGGAUUUGAGUUUGUGGUCUCAAAUCAAGAGUGUUUGUGUUUGUACUGUGUUCUGAUUUAGAUCUGUCAACAUCCUUGUUAUUCUGAAAGUGGUUUAGAAGGACAAGUCCUAAAUGGAACACAUGCAUCAACUGCUAAAUGGCGGGUUCAAGAUGUCAUUGUGGUCAGAGAGUGGGCAAUGGUGGUGGUGGAAGUGGCAAACAGUUGGAAAAACAUCUUGGGGGCUGUGUUUAUUCCUGUGUAAGGGUUGAGCAUACUGGCCAUAGUCCAGCACCACUACACUCAAGGGAUGUGUCACAAAUGUCCUACUAUUCCCAAUGGGCCCUGUUCAAAAGUAAUACGCCAUGUAGGGAACAGGAUGCUAUAUGGGACGCAGAAAGGACAUUUCAUGUAGGGAACAGGAUGCUAUUUGGGAUGCAGACAAGGACAUUUCAUGUAGGGAACAGGAUGCUAUUUGGGAUGCAGAAGGACAUUUCAUGUAGGGAACAGGAUGCUAUUUGGGAUGCAGACAAGGACAUUCCUUGAUUUCUAUCUGCCUACUGUAGGUGAGAGCAGGGUGCACAUCCCAAAACAAAUCACCAAAAUCUGUUUUUCUUUUGUGUGCUCCAGGUUAUUUGGACUGUACAGUGGAUGGAUGAUUAUAACCAGUGGUGGAAAAAGUACCCAAUUGUCAUACUUUGUAAGUAAAGAUUCCUUAAUAGAAAAUAACUCAAAUAAAAAUGAGAGUCACCCAGUAAAAUACUACUUGAGUAAAAGUCUAAAAGUAUUUGGUUUUAAAUAUACUUAAGUAUUAAAAGUACAAGUAAUUGCUAAAAUGUACUUAAGUAUCAAAAGUAAAAGUAUAAAUAAUUUAAAAUUCCUUAUAUUAAGCAAAUCAGACGGGACAAUUGUCUUGUUUUUUUAUUUAAUGAUACUAGGGGCUCCAACACAUCAUUUACAAAUGAAGCAUGUGUGUUUAGUGAGUCCACCAGAUAAGAGGCAGUAGGGAGGACCAGGGAUGUUCUCUUGAGUGUGUGAAUUGAACCAUUUUCCUGUCCUGCUAAGGAUUCAAAACGUAACAAUACGUUUGGGUGUCAGGGAAAAUGUAUGGAGUAAGGAAUGUUUUCUUUAGGAAUGUAGUGAAGUAAAAGUUGUCAAAAAUAGAAAUAGUAAAGUAAAGUACAGAUACCCCCAAAAAUGACUUACAUCUUUACAUAACUACUUUACAACACUGACAAUAACUACCCACUGUGUACAUGCUACUAGACAUAUUAUAAUGAGACCAAAGACAGUACACAAUUCACUGGCCUGUAUAGCAUUGUAAUAGCUCAGUCCCUAUAGCAUUCUC